AUUGAACGCUGGCGGCAUGCCUUACACAUGCAAGUCGAACGGGGGUAGCAAUACCCUAGUGGCGAACGGGUGAGUAAAGCAUCGGAACGUACCCAGUCGUGGGGGAUAACGUAGCGAAAGUUACGCUAAUACCGCAUACGUCCUGAGGGAGAAAGCGGGGGACCGUAAGGCCUCGCGCGAUUGGAGCGGCCGAUGUCGGAUGAGCUAGUUGGUGGGGAAAAAGCCUACCAAGGCGACGAUCCGUAGCUGGUCUGAGAGGAUGAUCAGCCACACUGGGACUGAGAACCGGCCCAGACUCCGACGGGAGGCAGCAGUGGGGAAUUUUGGACAAUGGGGGAAACCCUGAUCCAGCCAUGCCGCGUGAGUGAAGAAGGCCUUCGGGUUGUAAAGCUCUUUCGGACGGAAAGAAAUCGCACAGGUAAAUAAUCUGUGUGGAUGACGGUACCGUAAGAAGAAGCACCGGCUAACUACGUGCCAGCAGCCGCCGUAA
rnacentral:rRNA from 1 species